rnacentral:rRNA from 1 species
CCUACGGGAUGCAGCAGUGGGGAAUAUUGGGCAAUGGGCGCAAGCCUGACCCAGCAACGCCGCGUGAAGGAAGAAGGCUUUCGGGUUGUAAACUUCUUUUGUCAGGGACGAAGCAAGUGACGGUACCUGACGAAUAAGCCACGGCUAACUACGUGCCAGCAGCCGCGGUAAUAAGUAGGUGGCAAGCGUUAUCCGGAUUUACUGGGUGUAAAGGGCGUGUAGGCGGGACUGCAAGUCAGAUGUGAAAACCACGGGCUCAACCCGUGGCCUGCAUUUGAAACGGUAGUUCUUGAGUACUGGAGAGGCAGACGGAAUUACUAGUGUAGCGGUGAAAUGCGGAGAGAUUAGGAGGAACACCAGUGGCGAAGGCGGUCUGCUGGACAGCAACUGACGCUGAGGCGCGAAAGCGUGGGGAGCAAACAGGAUUAGAUACCCGUGUAGUC